rnacentral:rRNA from 1 species
AUGCAAGUCGAACGGUAACAGGAAGCAGCUUGCUGCUUCGCUGACGAGUGGCGGACGGGUGAGUAAUGUCUGGGAACACUGCCUGAUGGAUGGGGGAUAACUACUGGAAACGGUAGCUAAUACCGCAUAACGUCUGCAAGACCAAAGAGGGGGACCUUCAGGCCUCUUGCCAUCGGAUGUGCCCAGAUGGGAUUAGCUAGUAGGUGGGGUAACGGCUCACCUAGGCGACGAUCCCUAGCUGGUCUGAGAGGAUGACCAGCCACACUGGAACUGAGACACGGUCCAGACUCCUACGGGACGCAGCAGUGGGGAAUAUUGCACAAUGGGCGCAAGCCUGAUGCACCUCAUGCCGCGUGUAUGAAGAAGGCCUUCGGGUUGUAAAGUACUUUCAGCGGGGAGGAAGGGAGUAACGUUAAGUACCUUUGCUCAUUGACGUCACCCAGCAGUAAGAAGCCCCGGCUAACUCCGUGCCUGCAUCCUGCGGUAAUACGGAGGGUGCUAGCGUUACAUCCCGAAUUACUGGAGUGUUAAGCGCACGCAGGGCGGCUUGAAACGUCAGGAUGUGAAACUCCCCGAGGCUCACCCUGUGAACUGCAUCUGAAUACUGGCAAGCAUUGAGUCUCGUAGAGGGGGGUAGAAU